rnacentral:lncRNA from 1 species
CUUCAAUAUCGCCACCUACUGUGGUGGAGUGUAAUAUCAUAACGGUAAACAUUUAAAUAAAGUGCACUGCACACUCGUCAGAAACUGAAUGUUAAAUAUUUAGCAAGAAUGUGUACAUCAGGCGUACUAAUAAAAAAAAUAUAUGCUGGUAAACACAGUUCAGCAAUUUACUAUCAAUCCUGGCUACAUUUCCACCUGCAAAUUGCCGUAAUUAAUAACAUCAGCACUAGAAAGUUCCCCCCUACUAUUUGUGACUUUACCUAAAUAUUCAUGUAUUUAAUUAUAAAAGUCCACUUUUCUCAACCUUCGUGGGAGAAGUAUCUGGAUUGAGGUUUAUGAACGAUUUAGUUUAGCUAAUCAUCGACUACUCCCUGGUGGACAAAAGAUGAUCAACAGCAUAGUUCCAAAUGGACUCAGUACUUCCUCAAUUCAACAGAAAGGGCUGUAUUAUAGCGGUGUGCUUGGUAGUUGCUUGAAGAAUUCAUGAGAUAACCCUGUCUCUGGUUACAUUUAUGAUUCUGUGGGAGAGUUGCUGCUCUGAGAGUGAAGAGGAACUUAGUCUGUCAUGGACACACACCAAGGAACUCAGACUCUGUCGUUGAUAUGUACAAAGCUAAUCCUAAAGUCAAUGAGGACUGGGGAGUACUGCACCAAAGCUCAGAGACCACGCUGCUGCCACAACUUGGUACUGACUCGGCAGCCAUUUUGGGAACAACAUCAAAUCAUUUUGUACCAGAGGUGCCAGACAAAGACUAGCCAAAAGCUCUCAUCAGAAACAUUGACAGAGCACCAUGUAGU